GGAGGCAAGGCCAUGGAACAAGCAACGGAGAGGGCAGGGAAGGAGGAGAAGGGAAGAAGCAACGAGAAGCCUUGAGAGGAGGUGGAGAGCUGGGAAGCAGAGGCUUGGAGUGGCUCAGAAGGAGGGCAGACCUGGAGACACGCCCCAAGAGAAAGGGGUGAAAGGAGGGGGCUGGCACACAACUGGGGAGAGCAACAGCUGGCAGCCUGCAGACUGGCCAGAGAGGGGCAGGACCAGAAAGAGGUGCAUGGCUCAUUUCAGGAGCUGAGCCUGCUGUGCCCCUUGCUGAAGAUUGAAUCACAAGAAGGGACAGAGCGACCCAGCAGAGAACAGUGGAAGAAUUCAAGCCAGAUCAGAAUUGGCAACACUGGGACUCGGAGUGAGGCGGUUGGAGCCCCACAAGAAAUCAGCAGAGAAAGAUCCCAUGAAGCACCAGCAAGGACUGUCUCCUAUCAAUAAAAACAAAAUGUGGCAGGUGAAUGAGAACAACUGACAAGAUGGGCUGAUAAUUCCAUUUUUGGGUCUGACUCUGACCUCGCAAUGGAGUAAGUCAACAGGUUGCCAAGAAUUGGUUACAACUACUGAUCCAUGCAGCUGACAACACUGGCAUUCUGGGGGUCAACAUAUACAACUUCAGAUUCCUGUUCUUUUUCCUAGCCUCCUGCUGGAGUCUGAUCCAGCCAUGAUUCCCUCUUGGUUAUCCUCUAGCUUUUCUUGGAGACUGGGUUCCUUUGAAUGCCAUUGAAUGCACUGGAAGCAACUUUACUUUCACUUCACUUGUACAUCUGACCAGAAGAGGGAGGUAGCGGCCAAGCAAAUUGUCCAUUGAGAUCAGAAAGAAUGGCAAUGAAGAGUAAUAAUGAAGAGAAAUACCCAUCAUUCCUAGAAAGCUGUAAGGCUUUUGCUUUGUUUUAUAGCCUGAUUUUUAUGCCAGGAAAAUUUUCUAGGUCUACUUUUGGGAAAAUGACAAAUCUUCCCAUGUCACCAUUUCCAUCAGUGGAAUGGGCUUUAUCAUCACAUACCAAAUAAUUUCUUUGCAAGUCCAGAACAUGUUAAAUCAACUCCACUCCAUGCUCUAAGUCUCACAUUAUUGUUCUGUAGAUUUGGGGCCUUUCUUGUUUCACCAAUCCAUCAAAAACUAAUUCUAAGUCAGGGAAACAGAUGGAACGUUCUGUGUAGUAGGCAGCACUGUACUGAGAUAAAUACACAUCAACUGUUCCAAAUUCUCCUAGACACACACUCUACUUAAACCAUACCUUUUCUCCCUGGCAGUGUUCCACGAGGAGAGGUAACAACUAGCACACAGUUACUAUGACUGUUAUAGUACAAUCUGAUUACUGGAGUAGAUUGCAAAUCUCCAGUGAUAAAGUAAGAACUGACUCAAACGUUUUCCCCUGAAUUGAACCAAAACAUUUUGUUAAAAUUUGGACAAGUUAUUCACUUUCUUUCUCCUCUAUCUUGUGAAAUGUGUGUUUGUAAUAUUUGAAGUCAUGUUUUUCAGGAGCUUUGCUGAAACUUAAUUGACCUCAGUUUUGAGUCCCAAAUAAAGUGAAGUCUUGUUUUUAGGUUUCUAACUGGCUAAUGUAGCAUCAAAGACCAGACCCUCCAUUAAUUUGACCCCAAAAGUAGCAGUAUAGGAGGGGAAAAAAUGCACAAAGGAUAAAAGGCAGAGAGCUUUCCAUCCCAAUUCUUGGACCACACAGGUUCAGCUAAGUUUGUGUCAGCAAAGCUUCCAGACUAAACCUCUUAACCUUUUCACGUUCCUUGUCCCCUCAAUCAUAAUAGAUACCUUGGCCAUUCUGGUCCAAUUCAGUGAUGGCAAAAUAUCUUUUGAGGGUCCUCUUGUAGCAAGAAACCUUUUUUUUUUUUGCCUGCCCCUCCCCUCCUCCAAUGUAAAGCCCCUCCAUAUGGCAAAAGCCCCUUUUGCAGUAUUUGCCCCCUUUUGGUUUGUACAUGCUUCUAUGGGUAUAAAAUAGUAUUCUGCAGCAGUAUGCCUCCCCCCCAUCCCCCCCCAUUGUAUUUGGUCUGUUUGUUGCAUGCGCCAUGGCAUUUCACCCUUUUAUGUUUUAUAUUAUAUGCUUUUUAACUUUAUAACAAAUGUACUUUAAGUUUAAAAGUAAGUUGUACCAUGUAACAAUGUUAGCAAGGGUGGGAAUCGAACUGCGGCUUCUCCGUAUUGAGUGGGUCCCUAAAGCAGAGCUUUCCAAACUGUGUGCCACAAGACAUUAGUAUGUCGGCGGCAGUGUGUAGGUGUGUCGCGCGAAAUGCAGAAAAUUUUGCGGAAGGGCAUCGCGGAGCUCCCUUACUCGCGUCUGCUUCCCUUGGCCCCUCCCCUGGAACUGAAUUACUGUGUCGCAAAAUGAUGCAUGUCUAAAAAGUGUGUCACCAACAUGAAAAGUUUGGAAAGCUCUGCCCUAAAGGAAUCAUGAUCGAUUGUGUAACACAGUAGCUAGCCAGGAUAACAAGUUAACAAGCAGCAAUUAACACCCAUGAAACCACAAGACUAAGGAGAGGAAAAGAUCAAUACAGAGCCAGGAACUCCCUGAAACUUCACUGUUAAAGGUACAGAAGUCCCAGUUUGAACUAAUCAACGUGGAAAACUGACUCUUGGGACUGAAUUCCCCCCGCCCCCAAUCAACCACUCCCAGAGCCCUAUUCAUCACGGCACUGAAUUAAUCAAAUUUCAUCAACGGACUCCCAAGACUGCACGUACUGAAGGGGAAUAAAAAGGAGUUGAAUCGCCAUUAUGUGUAAGCGAGCUGAUCACGUACCCAGCUUAGGCUAUGGGGAAGUCAAAAGAACAUGACCCAAAACCGCGAGGCUAGCGCUAACUGUAACAAUCCUGUCCUAGCCCAGUAAAAGCAGAAACUUAGUGUAAAAAUAAUUCUGGCUACUGGUCACGUAUUGGCCUGCUGAGUCAGCUCAGAACGGGAAGUGACCCUGUGGUUACAAGCUAGAAGAAACCAGUUAAACUAACACUGCUAUACUAAAAAUAAGUAGAAACAUGCGCAUUACUAUCAAAGUCAUGGCAAAUGCUGAUUGGUAUAUGUUGUUGCUGUGCUUAUGAUGUAAUAUUUUCUAUAUAAACUCACCUCACCUAUUGUAUGGGGUCAGACCUCUACACAAUUCUCCAAUUGUGUAUGAGUCUGUCCAGAAUGCAUUCUCUAAUAAACCAAGUUCUUUUUAACUUUGAGUAGUCUGUUCGUCUAAGCCUCUGCCCAAUGAACCGGGGACAAGUUUUCCCCAACAGUACCUGCGGACGUGACCUCUGGGGCUGACAGCUGCCAUCCAGCAACCACCAAGGGGGAGGUCCUACAAGGUCAAUGACCCCUGGAUUGGGUAAGUCCGAAAAUUGGGAAGUCACCAAAGUCUGCCAGAGAGGGAUAAAAGGCAGCAAAGAAUUACCCGCAAUGGUGCCCUCUUUGACCUGACCAGCACCCUGCCUACCCAGCCGGAAGGACCAGCUGGCAACCCCCUUCUGAAGCAACAUUGCACUGAAAGAAGCCUCUACUGGCCAUCGACGGUGGACUCCAGCACUUGGGAAUAGGUUUAUCUUGACACCGGUGCUUAGUGUUCAUAGCUAGCUACUGUGACUGUGUGUGUGUAUGUGAAUGUUUGUGUUUUUGAGAGGAUCAGCCCCAGGGUUUAUGAUCUCACUUUUGCAUCCAUCUAAUAAACUAGAAUUUUAUGAUGA